rnacentral:lncRNA from 1 species
AAAAAAACAUAAAUAUAUUAAAACAAAAUUAAAAAAAACACAGAACAUUAUUAUCGUUAUGCUAUAUUAAAAAAAUUCACAAACUUGCAAAAACAAAAUAUAAAACAAAAAUUUAACAUAUUUACAUUAAUGCCAUUAAUGAAAAAUCAUUAUUUUCCAUAUAUUUUCAAAACACCAAAUAGAAAAGAAAAACAUCCAAAAGAUGUUUCCACUUUUUAAUUUUUAAAAACAGAAUACUAAAAUUAAUUAUGAAAACUUUAUGACAUAAGAGUCUUAUCAAACAAAUUUUUUGUUUUAUAAUUUUUUAGAACUAAAAUACAGUUCUUAGAAAUCAAUUCAAACAGGCCCUUACUCUCCCUACCAUCUAUUUUACCUAUUUGAUAUGGUACGCUAGGUCUUAAUUUUCUGACAAGUUUGAAGGUACGAUAUGUCCACCUCAAGAUGAUAAUCUACGGACAAGAUAGAAGCUAACCUUGCACAAACCGUUUUGGCUGAGAAUCCCGCGGUGUCGUUCCACCAAAAAAAAUUGUCAACAACAUUCGGAAUCAAAUUAAGAAUGAGAAGAAGAUAAUUUAAAUCUGUCUGAGAAGCUUCCACAAGAAAAUCAGAAUUAAAUUGAGGUUCCAAGACCAAACACCAUGGCACCACUACCCCAAUUCCUCUAUAGAAGGUCUAGAAAAUUGUACCUUUUCAAACUGACUAGAAAAUUGCAGCUUCAAUUGGGCACUUCCAAUCCAUUGAUUUCUCCAAAAGUCAAUAUAGGAACCCUUACAUAGCUUGCAAGAAAACCCAUUAUCUAACCAAUUUGCUUCGCCACCCCUAAUACCUAAGGAGACCCUUAGAUCCCUCAAAUAAAAGAGUUUAAAUAAAUAAUGCCAAAUAAAAGAUAUAAUAGUUUUAAUGAGUCAUCAAUAUAGACUAUAUUAAAAAAAUAAACUUUACCAAUUUAAAUAUAUUUUUAUAAAUUUACUUUUGAUUAAAAAUAAUUAAUUGAGAGAGUUCUAUAUUAAAGUGGAUUUUUUAUACGAUUAAAAAUAAAUAAAAAGUAUGAUACAGAAAAAAAAAACAUAAAUAUAUUAAAACAAAAUUAAAAAAAACACAGAACAUUAUUAUCGUUAUGCUAUAUUAAAAAAAAUCACAAACAUGCAAAAAUAAAAUAUAAAACAAAAAUUUAACAUUUUACAUUAAUGCCAUUAAUGAAAAAUAAUUAUUUUCCAUAUAUUUUCUAAACACCAAAUAGAAAAGAAAAACAUCAAAAAGAUGUUUCCACUUUUUAAUUUUUAAAAACAGAAUACUGAAAUUAAUUAUGAAAACUCUAUGACAUAAAAGUCUUAUCAAACAAAUUUUUUGUUUUAUAAUUUUUUAGAACUAAAAUACAGUUCUUAGAAAUCAAUUCAAACAGGCCCUUACUCUCCCUACCAAGAUUAAAAUGCGAAUAACUAUACCAUGCGAUCCACUUAAUUUUCUGACAAGUUUGAAGGUACGAUAUGUCCACCUCAAGAUGAUAAUCUACGGACAAGAUAGAAGCUAACCUUGCACAAACCGUUUUGACUGAGAAUCCCACGGUGUCUUUCCACCAGAAAAAAUUGUCAACAACAUUCAGAAUCAAAUUAAGAAUGAGAAGAAGAUCAUUUAAAUCUGUCUGAGAAGCUUCCACAAG